rnacentral:rRNA from 1 species
GACGAACGCUGGCGGCGUGCUUAACACAUGCAAGUCGAACGAAGUGGCGAACGGGUGAGUAACGCGUAAUCAACCUGCCCUUCAGAGGGGGACAACAGUUGGAAACGACUGCUAAUACCGCAUACUGAAGGAGGGGAUUGUGUCUGCUUAGCUAGUUGGGGGGGUAACGGCCCACCAAGGCGAUGAUCAGGAGCCGGGCUGAGGGGAUUGACGGCCACCUUAGGACUGAGACACGGCCCAGACCCCCACGGGGGGCAGCAGUGGGGAAUCUUCCGAAAUGGGGGAAAGGCUGACGGAGCAACGCCGCGUGGUAGAUGACGGCCUUCGGGUUUGAAAAGUCUGUUAAUCGGGAAGCGGUACCGGAAUAGAAAGCCACGGCUAACUACGUGCCAGCAGCCGCGGUAAUAC